GCCGCCACCGCCUCAGGGAAGAGGAAGGAGGCCGCGGCUUCGCGUCCCGCCUCUCGCCUGGCUGGCCGUGGGGGGCCUGGACGCAGUGGCCUCCCGAAUCUCCCAGGACCCUAAUAUCGCCCGAGGAUGCUGGGAGGAACGCUGAGCCGACCUCUCCGUUAGGCUGAAGAUUGCACAAACCAUGCUAAUGGCCAGCAUGGAUGGAGGGAGCGUGUGAGAUGUGUGGGGCAGCGUGCUGCAUCUCAGCCAACUCCAGGAGGAAGCAUGCUCAUGGCAAUACCCGGAGUCUCCACUGCAAGACCAGAGUGACGGAGGCAGCAGAGCUCCUCAGCAGGCCAGGAGUCUCCAGAGGCACUGCCGAAUGUCUAAGAAGCAACCUCAUUGUAUUCCCAAGACCUGGGAAUCCAGGUCUCGCAGAUACGAUGAUACAAUCUAUAGCCAGGACAUCUCUUCAUGUGUAGUUUUCAAUGAAUACUAGGAUAAGCAACUAUCCCAGUCUUCCCAGGAUUGAGGGGCUUCUCCAGAUGCUGCACUUCUGGUGCUAAAAAUGAGAAACUGAAAUGAAUUAGUCACCCAAGGAAUGCUGACCCUGUGCUAUAUGAUCACAUUUACUCUUUAAAGCAAUGCUUUGAGACAUGAAAGCCAGAUAGGGAAGAAUUUGCAGCCUCAUACUGAUUGGCCAGUUGAGGAGUCAACUCAUCUCUCUUAUAGAAAAAAGAAGAUUACAUUUACGGAAUACAGAAUAUACUGUGCUCUCUACUUACCAAGAGAUUUCUUUCUCUACUGACAACUUUCUGUUGACGUGGUUACUGUGCAGGUUCUGACAGUCGAUUCUUUCCACCUAGUUCACUGCUGAAGCUAUAAUGAUUUCCAUUUUGCAAAAAGAGGAUGAUUACUUAUUAUCUGUGACCAUUUCUCAAUUCCAGAACAAUUGAGCUGCAUAGUCCCUGCAAUCUUAUAAAGGCAUUUGGCCUGGAAGAUGCUCUGCAGCCAUGUGCCAAGAAUAACGGCUAUAGGGACAAUGUUUCAUUAACCCCAAAGCAGCAACCUGAACCUCUUACUGUACAAUAUCUGCUCCGUUCAGAAUUAGCUCGACUUGAGUCACAGGAUGAAGCUUACCAAAAGGAAUUUCCACGUCCAAGGAAGGAACCAAGAUCACUGAGAGGUUAUAGUAUGAAAAGUGAAGAGAAAAAACCUAUUCUAAACAUUUUAUUAAUUGUCAAUAAUUAUUUUAAAAUAUUUAAUAUAGUCUCCUACCUGGUCCACUGGCAUCAAGCUGCCAAAUUUACACGGUCACUUUGGGAAGCCAGCUGGCAGGCAAACAUGGAAAGUGCUGGCUCCUAGCGUAGUGAGAAGACCACAGAUAGAUGGUAAUUUUCUUCUUUGUUUUAUUUUUCUUUUUCUUCUCUCCCUCUUUUUCUUCCCUCUUGCCUUUCCCUCCCAUUGCCCACUUUCUUUUUUUGGCUGCCGAAGAUUUAUUGCCUUUCAGUACUUAUAGAUGAUGUUUUCAUAAGUUCUAAUGAGGUCCCAGCAGUUUUUAACAAUAACAGGACAUUACUGUUCCUAAGAUAUAUUAUGUGUUUUCCCUCAUCUUUCUCCCUUGAAUGAAAUGCUUAGAAGUAGGCUAACCCCCAAUUCCCUUCCCUUUACUAUGAUAAAUGGCUCCAUUACUUAAUAGGGCUAAAUACUCUGCUGUGACUUUUAUACUGCUGAUUUGAAUAAAAUCUUACGAAAAGC
ensembl:lncRNA GMDS-DT GMDS divergent transcript